UGCCCCGUAGUGUAAUUGGUAACACGAUUGACUCUGACUCAAUUAUUCCCGGUUCGAGUCCAGGCGGGGCAGCCA
rnacentral:tRNA from 1 species